AUCGAGUAGUAUCACCUCUCCCAUUCCUUCAGACUCCCAAGCACCUGCCCAUCCCACUCCAUAGCCCAGCCACCCACUCUCAUGUACCAUAUGACCAUCCCAGUAAGCAAGCCAACCACUAGAAUUUGACUGGCAUGCACCUGUGACUUACAUAAACCAGACCUCUACAUAGCCUACAUGUCUUCAUUUUGCUGGAGACUGCCCAUCAUCCUAGCCUGUUAUCUGUGAUAAAGCACACUGAAGUUAGGUUUGGAAUGCAUCCUUAUCAUGAAUGCUCUACACCUCCACCUCCAUCUCCCACAACCUAGGUAACAGCUUUGAGACUCACUAAAAGUUGAACCCCCUGAAUGAUGUAGGCUAUGGGGCCACAUAAGACUUUGUCCAUCCAGGGUUACGAUGAAUGUCAAAUAUAAACUAAAGAACCCCCUGAAUGAUGUAGGCUAUGGGGCCACAUAAGACUUUGUCCAUCCAGGGUUACGAUGAAUGUCAAAUAUA